GCCGUGGAGGUCAUGGAUCGCCGCGUGGAUGCUUUGCAGGGAGGCAUCGGGCGAAGACCUAGUGGGGGAAGGAGGAGAGGAUGCCGAAAAAGAUGAUCGAAGGCGAUCCCGUUGAGCGCUCCUUUAAGAAUAAGGGUACUACGAAGGUUCAGGCCCUUCCUCUAGCGCCAAUCCUAUUGGUGCAAAAAUCUGCCUGCGUCGGAGAAGCUGAAGUCGAAGGAGUCGCCGUCGGGACCUGC
rnacentral:lncRNA from 1 species